UCCGUGUUGAUCGGUGGGGUGGGCUGGGGUGUUGUUCCGCGCCACGAUACCCUCCAAGUUAAUUCAGUAUUGCAGUUCGAUUUAGUGUUGUGACUCGUGUGUUCAAUUAGUGUUGUGAUUAGUGCCCUAUUGGAUGUACUGGAUACGACCAUGGAUUGCAAUAUAGAAUAAAUCAACUCUACUUGGAUUAAAUGGAAUAUCAAUCAAUUAAGAAUAAAUGCAUGGAUAAAACCUUACAUGGAUAGUUUGUAAGAAUAAUUGCAUGCUGGAAAUGAUAAAAUCAUGGCAAUAAAUCAACAUUUUUUGUUAAUUUCUUCGUUGAUUAUCGAGACUUGCUCACAUUUGAACCAUGAUGAUUCAACCAACCAUUGGAAAAACGAUAAGGCAACGGGGAAAGGGCAUUAAAGGUAGGUCCUGAACGAGACUAGUUACUUGGCAAACACUUACAGAUUGGUAAAUCUGUAGUAAAUAUUUGUGACCAAAUAAACGAGGAGAACGCCAUCUAUUGAGACCGAACAGUACUAAAAUAGUCCGCCAAGUAUUAGGGGAAUCCCGUAGGUCUAGGUUUAUAUUCAUUUUAUA